GCGGGAUUGGCUCAGUUGGUUAGAGCGUCAGUCUCAUAACACGUGUUGUCAAAACACACUGUGACCUAGCAAUCUGAAGGUCGUGAGUUCGAUCCUCACAUCCCGCA
rnacentral:tRNA from 1 species